rnacentral:rRNA from 1 species
CCUACGGGCGGCAGCAGUGAGGAAUAUUGGUCAAUGGACGCAAGUCUGAACCAGCCAUGCCGCGUGCAGGAAGACGGCUCUAUGAGUUGUAAACUGCUUUUGUACGAGGGUAAACGCAGAUACGCGUAUCUGUCUGAAAGUAUCGUACGAAUAAGGAUCGGGUAACUCCGUGCCAGCAGCCGCGGUAAUACGGAGGAUUCAAGCGUUAUCAGGAUUUAUUGGGUUUAAAGGGUGCGUAGGCGGUCGGAUAAGUUAGAGGUGAAAUCCCGAGGCUCAACUUCGGAAUUGCCUCUGAUACUGUUAGGCUAGAGAGUAGGUGCGGUAGGCGGAAUGUAAGGUGUAGCGGUGAAAUGCUUAGAGAUCAUACAGAACACCGAUUGCGAAGGCAGCUUACCAAGCUACUUCUGACGUUGAGGCACGAAAGCGUGGGGAGCAAACAGGAUUAGAUACCCCAGUAGUC